rnacentral:rRNA from 1 species
UAUCUCUGUAGAGUCUGCAUAUCAAUAAGCGGAGGAAAAGAAACUAACUAGGAUUCCCUUAGUAACGGCGAGUGAAGCGGGAAGAGCUCAAAUUUGAAAUCUUCAAGGUUUUACCUUGACGAAUUGUAGUUUAAAGAAGUGUUUUCUGUUGGUAGUUUCGGUAAAAGUUCUUUGGAAUAGGACAUCAUAGAGGGUGAGAAUCCCGUAUUUGACCGUUAUUUUCAGCUGUGUGAUACACUUUCAAAGAGUCGGAUUGUUUGGGAAUGCAGUCCAAAGUGGGUGGUAAAUUUCAUCUAAAGCUAAAUAUUGGCGAGAGACCGAUAGCGAACAAGUACCGUGAGGGAAAGAUGAAAAGAACUUUGAAAAGAGAGUUAAACAAUACGUGAAAUUGUCAAAAGGGAAGCGUUUGACACCAGUGUUGUUUUCUCGAAAAUCAAUUAAAAAAUGCUUGGAUUUUGUGUUGUAUUGACUCUAUAAAGCUUUCUGCACUCUUUUCUAUGUCUUUUUUAAUGCACUUUUCGUUUAACAAGUCAACAUCAAUUUCUUUUGUUGUAAAAAGGGUCAUUGGAAGGUGGCUUUCUUUCGGAGAAAGUGUUUAUAGCCUUUGAGCUUCCUGCGAUCGGAGAGACUGAGGUCUGCAGCGUAGAUCCCUUCUGGGAUUAGAUUACAUUUGUGCUAAGCUUAUAGCUUCUCAUAGACAACUUGUUGACUAUGAUUAGUCAUUGUAGCUUACUCGCUUACUGUAUUUUACCUACGCUUAGGAUGUUGAUCUCUCACAGUCGAGC